GAUGAAGAACGUAGCGAAAUGCGAUACUUGGUGUGAAUUGCAGAAUCCCGUGAACCAUCGAGUCUUUGAACGCAAGUUGCGCCCGAAGCCAUUAGGCCGAGGGCACGCCUGCCUGGGCGUCACACGUCGUUGCCCCCCCAUCUACUCCUUCGGGAUUGCGGGGGGCGGAUGAUGGCCUCCCGUGCGCCUCGUCGCGCGGUUGGCCUAAAUGCCAAGUCCUCGGCGACGCACGCCACGACAAUCGGUGGUUGCGAAACCUCGGUUGCCCGUCGUGUGCGGUCGUCGCGCAUCGAGGGCUCGAAAAAAUUGCCGGGCUCCGGCUCGGCUUUCAACGCGACCCCAGGUCAGGCGGGGUUACCCGCUGAAUUUAAGCAUAUCAAUAAGCGGAGGA
rnacentral:misc_RNA from 1 species